GUCAGCACUCACUCUUCUACCCUUCCUCAGCUGAAUCACCACCGUCUUCCUCUUUACCUCAUUUUGCUCUCUCUUUGCCUGGUCCAGGAGCAUAGAGGCCAUCACCCUACCCUUUUGCCUCCAACUCUGGGAAAACAGAACAGUCUAAUCUCUCUUUCUCUGGUUAAACCUGCAUAAGUCUCAACUCUAAUACUUUAAGCAAGUCUGACAGUUGAUAAACUUCACCUUGACUCAUAAUCAUCCUGUCAAUCUCUCUCUUUAACAAACAUACAGAUCACUCAAUGUUCCAAGAUUCAUGUAAAAAGAAGUCUUUUGUUUUAAUCACUGAGAACUUCCGGAGAAAAGAAGAAAGUUCUUCAUGGAUCUGAUGCCUACAUGCUAUCUGCCUGGGUGCCACUGGAGCUCUGAAUUUUACAUACCAGGAGAAGAUUAGGACACCUAGAGAGACACUAGGGGUUCCUUUGCACAGAAGAAAGGCCACAUGAAGAUGGGGACACAGCAAGAAGGCAGCGGCAGCAAGCAAAGGAGAGAGGCCUCUGAGGAAACCAACCCUGCCAAACACCUGCUGCUUGGACUUCUAGCGUCCAGAACUGUGGACUCUUAUCAAUACCGAACAUUGAAAUCUGGAGGCUCGGCCAUCAGAACUCUUACACAGCACAGAAGACGAGUUUCACGGGUCACUCAGCAUCUACUGGAAGGAUGGAAAAAAUCAAGAAUUUGGCACCCUAAACACAACAUGAGAAGGUUUCACUCAGUAAUGGCCUCCUGAAAACAACUUAAUCUUCUUGGACAAGACUCUGAACUGAAAUCAAGGUUUCAAAAUAUUUUGUUGUGAGUGAUGAAGCUGUCUGGACCUAACUUUUCCGAGAGGCCAAGAAACCAUUCUGUAAUCCUGCAAAAUGGUUUCUGAAGAGUCUGGUGAAAUGCAACUGUUAUCCCUCACUUUGCAUUUUGCUCCAACGAUUCUGAGGUGCAACUUAUGGAUGAGACUGAUUUCUUUCCAUAUUGCUGUAGUAAAUUGGUUUUUGUUGUUUUCAUGGGCUUUGUAAAUCUUGCUGAUAAAAUCCAUAAGUGAUUUGCUAACAUAAAAGCUAACUGGAGAAACAUAAAAAAUAAUUCAAAAAUCAUUUCAUCUUAUCAACUGGAUUAAAAUUAAAAUUAUUAGAAAUACUAAUGAUAGUAUUUCUUUCCAGAGUGGUAAUGGAGUUUUUUUCCUUUUUAUUAAUAGCCCUUAAUGUAUCUUAUGGGAACAAUUAAUAGACAUUCUUCAAACUCCUUCAGAAAGCCCAAUGACAAGUGGCAUUUUUACCAGCGAGAUUCUCAGCGAAUAUAUAAUUCUUUGUCAAUAUUCAAAUUAAGGCAGAAACUCUAGAGUCUGAUCUGUAUCUAUUUCAUCUUUUAAAUGUGUUGAAAGGCCUCUGAGUGCAUCUUAAGCAGUUGGUAAAUAUUUUUCAGGUCAUCACAUACAGGAACUGGACCCCAGUUUUUCCUAAAAAAAUAUGUAUGUACAGAUGACAGAAAAAAAAUUGCCUUCAGAAAAUGGAACCCAUGUGCCAAGGCCUGGUCAGUAAAAAAAUCCCUAAUUUUUGCUUGUUUUAUAAUUUGUCUUAGGUUUUCUCUGACACUAGUGGAUUUCUUUUUUAAGGCAGUCAUAGUUCUAAUACUGUUCAGGCCUUGAAAAAUCCAAUCUAGGCUGGAUUAUGGUGGCUCACACUUGUAGUCCCAGCACUUUUGGAGCUCUGGGUA
rnacentral:lncRNA from 1 species